rnacentral:rRNA from 1 species
CGGCGGGAUUUGGAGUGAC